rnacentral:tRNA from 1 species
GCCAACAUAGCUCAGCUGGUAGAGCAGCUCACUCGUAAUGAGCAGGUCACCGGUUCGAGUCCGGUUGUUGGCUCCG